GACGAACCGAGCGAACGUUGUUCGGAAUCACUGGGCUUAAAGGGCGCGUAGGCGGGCGGCUAAGUCCGCGGUGAAAUCCUCCAGCUCAACUGGAGAACGGCCGCGGAUACUGGUCGUCUCGAGGAACGUAGGGGUAUGCGGAACUAUCGGUGGAGCGGUGAAAUGCGUUGAUAUCGAUAGGAACUCCGGUGGCGAAGGCGGCAUACUGGACGUUUUCUGACGCUGAGGCGCGAAAGCCAGGGGAGCAAACGGG
rnacentral:rRNA from 2 species